GGAACCGUGCCCGAACGCCCAGGGACCACUUUGAUAGAGUGACCCACAGGGGUUAAAAUCCCCUCGGUUCUU
rnacentral:tRNA from 1 species